ACCUGCGGAAGGAUCAUUAACGAGUUAAUUGAACAGGUUGUAGCUGGCCCCCAGGGGCAUGUGCACGCCUGGCUCAUCCACUCUUCAACCUCUGUGCACUUCUUGUAGGUCGGCGGAAGGACGAGUCUGGUUUCAUUACUGUGACUUGCUUGGAAGCCUUCCUAUGUCUUUACAAACGCUUCAGUUUAAGAAUGUAAUCUGCGUAUAACGCAUCUAUAUACAACUUUCAGCAACGGAUCUCUUGGCUCUCGCAUCGAUGAAGAACGCAGCGAAAUGCGAUAAGUAAUGUGAAUUGCAGAAUUCAGUGAAUCAUCGAAUCUUUGAACGCACCUUGCGCUCCCUGGUAUUCCGGGGAGCAUGCCUGUUUGAGUGUCAUGGUACUCUCAACCUUCAUAACUUUGUUGUUAUCGAAGGCUUGGAUUUGGAGGUUGUGCUGGCUUCUUGUCAAGUCGGCUCCUCUUAAAUGGAUUAGCGUGAGUGUAACGGAUCGCUUCGGUGUGAUAAUUAUCUGCGCCGUGGUCGUGAAGUAACAUCAGCUUGUGCUUCUAACCGUCCUUCAGCUGGACAAAUUUACUCUGACAUCUGGCCUCAAAUCAGGUAGGACUACCCGCUGAACUUAAGCAUAUC
rnacentral:sRNA from 1 species